AUGAUGAUGGUAUUUAUCUGUAUUUUUUACAGUUAUGCAUCCUGUAUAAAUACUGAUAUUUCAUUCCUUUGUUUACUAAAGAGACAUAUUUAUCAGUUGCAGAUAGCCUAUUUAUUAUAAAUUAUGAGAUGAUGAAAAUAAUAAAGCCAGUGGAAAUUUUCUACCUAGGAUGCAUGGCGAUUGUCAGGUUGGAGUGUAAAUUCUUCCUUUGGGAAAUUCAGCUUUUGCAGAAGCAGUGUUGCUAUUGCACUAACAUGGCCUCUGACGUGACCAUGAUGUUGUUCUUGAUGACAUUGCUUCUGCUAAAUUCAAUAAAAAACUUCAGAAAAAACCCCUCCAUUUUGAGCAUCAGGAUUUCAUCUGAUUGUGGAGUCCCUGGAAUGGAAUUCAUUAAAGUUUGGAGUGUGUAUUCAAGUUUCUCAACCCAGAUUUGAGUCCUGUUUGGCUGACAUAACUUUUCCGGAAGAUAUGACAUACCUACUACUUAAUCGUUCUUUUCCUUUCUCUCACCCAACAUGAUCUUACAAAAUCGGUUUCACCCCCAGGCCGAUGCAGCUAAUUUUGAGAGCUGCAUUCAUUUAUCACCAGCAUAUUGUGUUCUGAGUGAAUCCACUGUCUGUCCUGUUGGAUGCUUGCUUGAGUUUUUGGCUUCUUAUUUCUAAGUAGAUAGAAAGCAAUAAAAAUACUAUGAAAUCAAAGAACUUGUUCACAGGUUCUGCGUUACAACAGUAACACAUCUUUAAUCCGCCUAAUUCUUGUUGUUCUGUAGGUUAAAUGCAGGUAUUUUAACUUUGUGAACACCAAACUAAAGUUUACAGUCUUUCUUUCUGAAUUUCGAGUAUCUUCUGUUGUAGAAUAAUAAAGACUAUUAAGAGCAAUAAAUUAUUUUUAAGAAAUCAAUAUUUAGUAAAUCCUAUUAUGUGUUCAAGGACCAGAUGUGUUCUCUAUUUUGCCUUUAAAUUUUUGUGAUCCAGUUUUAAAUACAUUCUCCUUUUUGCCCUGGAUUGUUGACAUGAGUGAAAUACUUGGUUUUCUUUUCUUACUUAUCAAAAGACAACACUACAGACUCCAUGUUUUGGAUUAAUUUAUCCCCCUGUGGCCUAACAAAUAUUGUUACCAUGAAGAUAGAUUUCCUCCAUGAACUUCAAAUUACAUCUACAGUUAGUGAAGCUUUUGUAAUUUAUGCAGACACUGUGGGUAGCCCAUCAAAAUGUAAGCUGUGUUUCUGUUACUUUUAUUUUUUAAUUUUUUGGGAGAGACUAUUUCAAAUGAACAUGUGCACCCCAUCAUCACUGGAGGCAAAUUUCAGCAUAGAUCUGUAGGAUUUUUAGAUGAUCAUGGGCCAUUGCCUUCAUGCUGUGGUAAGUACCACAUCUACAAUUUUGGUAAUCGAACUGGUGCUUUAGAAAUGUGGGGUUUUUUAAAGAGAUGUAGCAGAAUAAUUCUUCCAAUGCAACAAAAUCAAUUUUUGCUAAACGACUCCGAGAACAAGUGUUGGGCUGUCAACAUUCAAAGCAGCAGAGAGGGAACUUUGCCCUACUGGGGUAUGACGUUUGGGUCAGUUGAAAAAAGGAAACCUUUUCAUGCCUUUAGAUGUGAGCUUACAGUAGGUAAUGAUUAUGUGUCCUUUUUGAUGGCUGUAACGAGAACUUCAAUCACUGUAGUCUAAGACCUGAUCUAUAGAUGACCUAGAAUAGCCAUGUAAUAUAAUGUGAUGAUUCUAAAUUUGUACCUAUGUGACAGACAUUUUCAAUAAUGUGAACUGCUGAUUUGAUGGAGCUACUUUAAGAUUUGUAGGUGAAAGUGUAAUACUGUUGGUUGAACUAUGCUGAAGAGGGAAAGUGAGAGAUUAGCUGAGCCCUUGCUGGGCUUUUUUUCCACCUGCCAAUUCUACAUGUAUUGUUGUGGUUUUAUUCAUUGUAUGAAAAUUCCUGUGAUUUUUUUUUAAAUGUGCAGUACACAUCAGCCUCACUGAGCUAAUAAAGGGAAACG
rnacentral:lncRNA from 1 species